rfam:Ipomoea nil DNA, scaffold: scaffold3210, cultivar: Tokyo-kokei standard.
GACGGUUUGGCUGAGUGGUCUCAGAGCGCCAGAUUUAGGCUAUGGUCCUGAAAGGGCGUGGGUUCAAAUCCCACAGCGUCA